rnacentral:rRNA from 1 species
AUACGGAGGAUGCAAGCGUUAUCCGGAUUUAUUGGGUUUAAAGGGUGCGUAGGCGGUUUGCUAAGCGGGAGGUGAAAUGCCGGCGCUCAACGUCGGAAGUGCCUCCCGAACUGGUGGACUGGAAUGACUCUGCCGUGGGAGGAAUGUGUAGGGUAGCGGUGAAAUGCUUAGAGAUUACACAGAACACCGAUUGCGAAGGCAUCUCACGAAGGGUUGAUUGACGCUGAGGCACGAAAGCGUGGGGAUCAAACAGGAUUAGAUACCCUGGUAGUCCACGCAGUAAACGAUGAUGGCUAACCGCUGGUUUAUUCGGAUCAGUGGCCAAGCGAAAGCGAUAAGCCAUCCACCUGGGGAGUACGACCGCAAGGUUGAAACUCAAAGGAAUUGACGGGG